rnacentral:rRNA from 1 species
UACGGGGGGGGCAAGCGUUGUUCGGAAUUACUGGGCGUAAAGGGCUCGUAGGUGGCCAACUAAGUCAUACGUGAAAUCCCUCGGCUUAACCGGGGAACUGCGUCUGAUACUGGACGGCUUGAGGUUGGGAGAGGGAUGCGGAAUUCCAGGUGUAGCGGUGAAAUGCGUAGAUAUCUGGAGGAACACCGGUGGCGAAGGCGGCAUCCUGGACCAAUUCUGACACUGAGGAGCGAAAGCCAGGGGAGCAAACGGG